AUCGCAUUUUGUUGUAAAAUUUCUUUUGAACACAGUAUAAAAUGGUUUGUGAAGUGAGGACUAUUGCUUAUUGAUUCAAUUUCUCGUUUCCAGUCUGUGCGCGAGAUUUCUCCAAGUUGUUUUGUGAAGAAGCUGAACAAAAGAAAUUGAAAAAGGGAAUUUGCCAUUGAAAUUGAGAAUUGCAAUAGGAUCUGCAGAGGAAGGUGAACCAUGGUAAUGGUGAGUCUUCAUUCUCCUCACAAAACGGUGUAGUUUAACAAAUAUUUUCUUUUCUUUUAUAUUUUUCAUUUCAGUUUAUUUUUAUUGGAUUUUAUAUUUCAUUUAAUAUUCAUGCGGCAUAAAAUAUUGAUAUUAUAUUAUUAAUUUUGACACCGUUUAUUUUUUUUAUUCUUUCCAUCAAAUAAUAGCUCAGUACAAAAAAAAUAUAUAGACUCAACGUAAUCAAAUCAAAAUGUAGGUAAUUUAUUAUUUGAUUCUGAAUUUUGAUCGAUAUUACGAUUUAGUCUUAUAUUUUGAAAAUUGAAUUAUUUAGUCUUUUACUUAUAUUUUCAUCAAAAUUAGAGAUCAUUUUGUCUAAUGUUGCUAUUAGUUUAAGUGAAAAGAUAAAU
rnacentral:misc_RNA from 1 species